rnacentral:rRNA from 1 species
AUUGAACGCUGGCGGAAUGCUUUACACAUGCAAGUCGAACGGCAGCACGGGGGCAACCCUGGUGGCGAGUGGCGAACGGGUGAGUAAUACAUCGGAACGUGCCCAGUCGUGGGGGAUAACGUAGCGAAAGCUACGCUAAUACCGCAUACGAACGCUGGUUGAAAGCGGGGGAUCGCAAGACCUCGCGCGAUUGGAGCGGCCGAUGGCAGAUUAGGUAGUUGGUGGGGUAAAGGCCUAACAAGCCGACGAUCUGUAGCUGGUCUGAGAGGACGACCAGCCACACUGGGACUGAGACACGGCCCAGACUCCUACGGGAGGCAGCAGUGGGGAAUUUUGGACAAUGGGCGCAAGCCUGAUCCAGCCAUUCCGCGUGCAGGAUGAAGGCCCUCGGGUUGUAAACUGCUUUUGUACGGAACGAAACGGUGACCGCUAAUACCGGUCGCUAAUGACGGUACCGUAAGAAUAAGCACCGGCUAACUACGUGCCAGCCGCCGCGGUAAGAC